rnacentral:lncRNA from 1 species
CUUGGGGAUAGAACCCAGGGAGGAAUAAAGAAACCCACUUUUCUACAGUCACAUAGAAAGUCAUAAAUAGCAGCAAAAUUGAAUUUCUAAGGCACCAGGAGAAUGAGGAGAAGCUUGUGGCUGACUUGAAUCCCUCAGAUGAUUUUGUUUUAUGAAGGAUGGGAUGAAAAUGUCAGAGUACACGGAAAACAUCUUAGUUCUUCCCAUCUCCAGUGGGAUCAUUCAAAUCCUGCCCCAGGUCCUGUUGAGCUAGUGCUGAUGCCCCAGGAAGAGGAGCAAAGGGCAGGAGAAUAUUGGGAAGUCCUUCAUGCCUGGAGCACUCAAUCAGUAAUCAAUAAGCCAGGAGCUGGAACCCUAUCAUCGGAGCUAGAGAUAACUGUCUGAGCCACGAGAGGGGCUGCCCAAGUGGAAACUAACAAUAAAGGAGGAAGGGGAAGAAAAUGCCAACCGAGAAAUCUCUCAAAAUGGGACAGUUACAGGAGUCAUUCCGCAAAGCCUGAAAAAGAUAUAGUUAUGCUAUAUAUAGUAUAUAUGUAUAUUGGAACAGAGUUCAAUUGAACAAUCUGCCAUCCCUGAGAUUCUGAUUUCUCCUGACUUGAUUGCUCAUUUGUUUGCAUGUUGUCCUUCCCAUUUAGCUGGGAAUUCCUUGAUAUCAGGGGCUGUUUUUGCAUUUCUUCAUUUCACCAGGGUGUCUGACACACAGUAAGAGCAUGACAGAUAGUGUUGAUUUGACCUUAGAUUUCUUCAUAUAUCUGAAUUUCAUCUUCUUCAUCUAUUAAAUAGGAGGAAACAACAACAACAAUAACACUGACUGAAUAAUCUUGUUGUGAUGCUCAUUUUAGAUGAGAUAUGGAUUAUAUCUUUGAUUCUCAGUUCUAUAUAGUUGAUUUUAAG